CGGUGGAGCAUGUGGUUUAAUUCGAUGAUACGCGAGGAACCUUACCAGGGCUUAAAUGUAGUAUGACCGGUCUGGAAACAGACCUUCCCUUCGGGGCAGAUUACAAGGUGCUGCAUGGUUGUCGUCAGCUCGUGCCGUGAGGUGUUAGGUUAAGUCCUGCAACGAGCGCAACCCCUAUUCUUAGUUGCCAACGGUUCGGCCGGGGACUCUAAAAAGACUGCCAGCGCAAGCUGAGAGGAAGGUGGGGAUGACGUCAAAUCAUCACGGCCCCUACGUCCUGGGCUACACACGUGCUACAAUGGUAAAGACAGAGGGCAGCCCCCUGGCGACAGGGAGCGAAUCCUUAAACUCUAUCUCAGUUCAGAUCGGAGUCUGCAACCCGACUCCGUGAAGCUGGAAUCGCUAGUAAAAGCGCAUCAGCCAUGGCGCGGUGAAUACGUUUCCGGGCCUUG
rnacentral:rRNA from 1 species